GCUCCUGCAGCGCAAUGGGUAGCGCGUUGGACUUCUAAUUCAAAGUUCGUUGGUUUGAAUCCUACCUGGGAUA